GAAACUUGCUCUAUAUUUAAAAAAUUAGUGACCCUACUCCUCUAUCUCACUCAUUUGUCGGCAAGACUAAACGACAAUUGACCAUCUCCAAUAUGUUCGAUGUAAACCAGCUCUUUUGAGAUUCUUACCCACAUGAUUCUUCUUUCUCUCUAUAGGAUCUUUAGUUUCAGUUUGUCUAAAUCUGCCUUCUUCUUCCUCUGUAAUGCAAAGAGAUGACUCGCUCAAGGAUCCAACACCCUCCUCGUCCGUGAUGAUGAGACGACACCGUUCUGGACGUGUUUUCUCCAUCUCCUCCUGCUCUCAUCAUUCUUCUUGUUGUCCAUGUCCUUGGAACCCGAUACAGCUCCAGAUACGAAAGACAUCAAUCAAUUCAACUCGCUUCUCCCUCAAGCCUUGAGACUCCAAGUGUCAAAAUAUAGGUGCAUGUCCCUCUUCCCACUCCUUAAUCCAUAUUUUAUAACCAGAAAAGGUGGUGGAUAGACUUAAUUUACAAUCGCUGGUGAUUUCAAAACAUCAGGGUCUGGAACAUUGAAGCAUAACUGAUUGAUUUUGGUGAAACGCAACUGGAGAGAAAAAUUGAUAUUGGCAUAAGGUGCUUACCAUAACAUCAUAGAUGAAACAAAUGAAAGUCCUUUGAAGGAGAGCGUAAGCAGCGAGACCCAUUUCACUGUUGUGACCCAAGAAAGCUUGAGCUACCACUACGCAGCCAAACGACAUCACUCUGAACAAAGACGAUGUUAUGAGCAAGAGAUUUUACCUGAUUGCUUCACACAGUUUUCAACAGGGAGCUUCUCUUAACUAUGUGGCCAUGCCUCUUUAUGUUUCAAAUACAUGGACGGCACCAGAUUGAAAGGUUAGCAUCAGAAUUUCUAAGUAGUUGUGUAAUUGUUUGGGACAGAUUCAAGCACCCCUGCUAUACUUUAUCUUACAAAUCACUCAUUAGGCUAAAAGUAAACAAUUGCGUUCACAAAAUAAAUCUUACUGAAAGUAUGUAAACAAA